GAGUUUGAUCAUGGCUCAGAUUGAACGCUGGCGGCAGGCCUAACACAUGCAAGUCGAGCGGAUGACGGGAGCUUGCUCCUUGAUUCAGCGGCGGACGGGUGAGUAAUGCCUAGGAAUCUGCCUGGUAGUGGGGGACAACGUUUCGAAAGGAACGCUAAUACCGCAUACGUCCUACGGGAGAAAGCAGGGGACCUUCGGGCCUUGCGCUAUCAGAUGAGCCUAGGUCGGAUUAGCUAGUUGGUGGGGUAAUGGCUCACCAAGGCGACGAUCCGUAACUGGUCUGAGAGGAUGAUCAGUCACACUGGAACUGAGACACGGUCCAGACUCCUACGGGAGGCAGCAGUGGGGAAUAUUGGACAAUGGGCGAAAGCCUGAUCCAGCCAUGCCGCGUGUGUGAAGAAGGUCUUCGGAUUGUAAAGCACUUUAAGUUGGGAGGAAGGGCAGUAAGUUAAUACCUUGCUGUUUUGACGUUACCGACAGAAUAAGCACCGGCUAACUCUGUGCCAGCA
rnacentral:rRNA from 4 species